rnacentral:rRNA from 1 species
GUCGUACAGGUCUCCGUAGGUGAACCUGCGGAGGGAUCAUUACACAAUAACAAGGCGGGCUGGACACCCCCAGCCGGGCACUGCUUCACCGCGUGCGCGGCUGGGCCGGCCCUGCUGAAUUAUUCACCCGUGUCUUUUGCGUACUUCUUGUUUCCUGGGUGGGCUCGCCCGCCAUCAGGACCAACCACAAACCUUUUGCAAUAGCAAUCAGCGUCAGUAACAACGUAAUUAAUUACAACUUUCAACAACGGAUCUCUUGGUUCUGGCAUCGAUGAAGAACGCAGCGAAAUGCGAUACGUAGUGUGAAUUGCAGAAUUCAGUGAAUCAUCGAAUCUUUGAACGCACAUUGCGCCCUUUGGUAUUCCAAAGGGCAUGCCUGUUCGAGCGUCAUUUGUACCCUCAAGCUUUGCUUGGUGUUGGGCGUCUUUUGUCUCCAGUUCGCUGGAGACUCGCCUUAAAGUCAUUGGCAGCCGGCCUACUGGUUUCGGAGCGCAGCACAAGUCGCGCUCUUUGCCAGCCAAGGUCAGCGUCCAGCAAGCCUUUUUUUCAACCUUUGACCUCGGAUCAGGUAGGGAUACCCGCUGAACUUAA